CUAACGGCCAGAUGAGAGCAGUUGGCAGUUAUUUUGCAGGAGGCUUCUCAGGGAUGAAGGCAAGCUGGCCCCUAGCUGAUCAGCUGGUUGGUGAGGACUCUUCACGAAAUAACUCAGCACUCAUGAUCAGCUGUCAAGCUAUAACGGAGUGUUGAGGCAGUCCCUGAAACCACAGCGCCAUUUUGUAGGAACUAAGAAGCCAACCUCAAGGAAUCACUCGCCCCAAGAAGACUUUGUUCUGAUCUGAUGUGUUUCUAGCCUGGUGGAGCCUCAGCUAUCCAAAGGAAGAGCUGUUAAGAUGAUUGGAAUUUUGGUUUUUCCGAUUCACUCUUUUUUCUCUCCAGCCAUCUGCCUUAGACAGCAGGAGAAAAGGAAACUUAGCCUCAGAGGUGGGGUCCUUCGGAAGGACUGACAGUGGGCUAGCUCUCCUGCUGCUGGGAGCCUGAGUGCCUUUGGCUCCUUGUCCAGACCUCAGCUUUACCACGGAGGUUACCUGCUUACCAUCAACAUCGAAACUUGCCUCUUCCCCUGGGUGUAUUCUCCCUCUUUUGUGUACAGUUUGAUUCCUCCAAACUGCUCUCCCUGUGAAGAAAGCCGAUGGAAUUCAGGGAGCCUGGCCAGCCACCCAGGCCUUUAUAAAGGUCCUCGUACCACAGGAUGUAUGGGAGACCCAAUAAAGACUUUUGCAAAAUGCU
rnacentral:lncRNA from 1 species